UCUGGAGGCCAGCAUGAUACAACUAGAGCCAUAGCUGGCCCCAUGGAGCUCCAACACACCAGGGAGAAGGCAUUCCCAGAGAUGCUCAGAGAAUGUUUGUGGAUGGGGCAGCUUUUCCCUCCUCUCUGCCCCCAAUUCUUUCCAGGCACCCAGAGCUUCUGGGCUAUCCCCAGUAGUUGCUGUGGCACCAAACUCUCUGGAGUCAAUAUCCCAGUCCUCGUCUUCCAAUCCUUAUUAUCACAUUGAAAGGCACACACCCUCUGUCCCUCCAAGCCUGAACAUGACUUUCUAAACCCAUCUAAUAAAUCAAAUCAUCCUGGAGUGUCCAGGGAUAUGGCUGAUCUGUAUUUUCCUUCUCUCCUUUCAGGGAAAAGAGAUGCUUUUCCAGCAGGGACCCAGGGCUCUGGCCAUGUGGAAGCCCAGGGGCUGGUCACUUACACUUUCCGGGUGCGCGGGCGGAGCCGGCGGAGUGCCUGGGGCACCUGCUCUGAGUCAUAGGGCGACUGGUAAAAGAAGAUCCGGACGUCCUCAUCCAUCAGCACCCAGACCGGCAGGCUGAGCAGGCUCUGUGUGGGUGAGACAGCAGAACCGGUGGGGUAGUCAGCAGAAAGAUCUGGACACCCCAGCCUAGAUGUCCCGUCCCCGAGCCCUGACAUCAGCCCUCCUCUCUUUACUAAUGCAUGAUGCCUGAUAACAGAAAUGCGUUGUUUAAAAGAAUAAGAAAACUCAGCAUGCUGAAGGUAACACUUCACAAGCUCUGCUCCUGGGUCCAAGGUCAGGAGAGGGACCAGGGGCUUGAGAAGAGUCCAUUUGGAAAAGACUUAAAGUUCUCCAGAAACAGCAGUAAUGGUGAUGACAACUAACAUGACCCGGCGGUGACUUUACCAGUUGAGGAAACUGAUGCUUGGAGAGGGAAAGUACCUGGCCCAGAGGAGCCGAGCUAAGUGACAGGGCCCGGACUUGAGCCCUAGUGUCCUUGUUUCAUCCAAGCUGGUUACACCCACCACGAUGCAAAGACUUUGAAGCUGUGAGGACGCGAGCACCCAGAGCCUGGCGGGGUCAUCUCACCAAACUCCAAGCGCACAGGUCUGGGGACACUGAGGGUUGGCUUUGGGUGCUGAGGCUCCAGAGGCACCCAGAGCCCUGCAGAGGAUCCCAUGGGGGCAGCAGGAUGAGGUGGGGUCGGGGAACUUUGUCCGAGAGGAACUGGGGAUGCAGAGCCCGGAAAAGGCUGUCAUAUGGGGACAGCCUGGGAGGUGUUUAAGGAGCCAGGGGCUCCUGGGAUCGAAUCCCAGCUCUGCCUGUCACCAGCUGGGUGGCUUUGGGCAAACCUGGCUCCAGAUGGUCAUUAAUAAAAUGGGGACAAUAAUAGCCUCUCCCUCGUGGGAUUGUGUGAGAAUUAAAUGAGUAAAUACAUGCAGAAUCCUUAGAACAACACCAGGCAUAUACCAGGUGCCCAUCAAAGUUAGAUGUCAUCAUUGUUACUGUGAUUUUCAUUACAACGAGGCACAGUGGGUAAGAGCUCAAACCCUGGAGUCACAGAGAUGUGAAUUCAAAUCUCAUCCCACCUACCUAACUGCUCUGUCACACUUAACUCACAAGUUAUUGAGGGGAUUAAAUAAGAUUAUUCAUUUAUCAAUAAACGUGUAUCAAGAGUCUCCUGGUUGCCAGUCAAAGCUCUUCACGCAGUUCCAGGCAGUUGUCAUUAUCAUGUGAUUCACAUUCUUCAUGAGGGCGGGGUGAGACCAGUGGGUAGGACUUACAGAGAGUUGGGCUUUUCUCAUAGCUGCCCAACAAUGGGACAGGCAGCCUGGGUCAGGGCGGAGUGGUAGUGAGCUCCCCAUCUCUGAGGGUAUGCAAGCACAGGAUGGGGUGGCCAUGGCAGAGAUUCCUGCCCUGAAUGAUCUCUGGCUUCCAGGAACCCAAUUGGACACAAAGAGGCAGAGAUGGAUCCUCUGGGCUGCUGGUUGCUAAGACCAGGUGUGGAAUGAGGAGCCCCAGUUCCCCAGCCUCGCCUCCUGCCUUCUCUUCCUCCUUCCCUCCCUCCCUCCCUUCACAGCCCACUCCCCUAUUCUAGCCCAGGGGGAGAAGGGUGGAGCCUCAGCCACCCUGAAGGAGCAGCUGGAGCCCACCCAGCUCCCCUCCCUCCCUCUUCCCUGCUCAGAGCCCAGGAUUCCUGCAGCUACCUGCUCUCUCCUCCUUCCUCCCACCUCCUCUGCCCUCCAUCUGCUCCUUCCCUCCAUCAGGAGUCAAGAUCUCUCACAUUCUGGAAGCAGGUUCACAGUUUACAAAGCACUUUCUCAUCCUGUUCUCGACAGAUCCCAACUUCACUCCUGUGAUACUAGAGGGCACUGCCCCAUUUCACAAGUGUGAAAACCAAGGCCUAGAGAGGAUGGGCAACUCACCCCAAAUCACCCAGCCAGUCAGUGUCAGAGUCAAGACUAAAGGAUCCUAGCCCAGCGCUCUCCAGCUGUGAGGAUGCCGCUGGGCUGGGAGGAGGGCUUCGCUUGCCAGCUUCCUGAGGUCACUAUCAGGUCUCUAGCGACGGUGCACUCACUGCCACCUCAUGAGGAACACUGCCCCUUUCCUGGAUGGCUGUGGCUGGUGGAAGUCCUUUCCUGACCACCUUGGCCUCUGCCUUUAAGAUGCUCCUUCCUCUACGCUCCCAUCUCAUAGAGAUGCAGAGUUUGCAAGUCGGAGAAUACACAAGGGCCCCCAGCCAAGACCCAUGAGUGUAGCUAAAAUCCAGCCCAUGUUCACGUAAGGGAGUGAGUUGUCCCAGAGGAGGCCUACUCUAGUUUGCACAAAGAUGCUAUAUGAGCAACCUGCGGCCUGCUUGGCCACACCCC
rnacentral:lncRNA from 1 species